rnacentral:piRNA from 1 species
UAGAGUCUUGAAAUAUUUAAAGAGUAGC